AAACGACUUUCCUCUAUCCCCA
rnacentral:tRNA from 1 species